rnacentral:RNase_P_RNA from 1 species
GCGUUCGGGUAAUCGCUGUAACUUUUGUUGCAGAGGAAAGUCCAUGCUCGCACGAGCUGAGAUGCUCGUAGUGUUCGUGCCUAGUCAAUUCAUAAGCUAGGGCAAGCUUAAAGGCUUGACGGCUGGGAAAAUGCCUAAGUCCUUUGGAUAUGGCAUCAGUACCUUUAAAAGUGCCACAGUGACGUAAUCUUUCUAGAAAUAGAAAGGGUGGAACGGGUAAACCCCACGAGCGAGAAACCCAAAUUAUGGUAGGGGCGCUUUCUUUCUUGGAAUUCAACAAGAAGAAGGACAGGUUUUAUUGAAACCUGUAGAUAGAUGGUUACCACCAAAGUACGAGACUUUUGUCGCUUGAAGUACAAUGGUACAGAACAUGGCUUACAGAA